CUGGAGCUGAGUCAUUUCAUCUGCCUGGCACUGGAACACGCACAGAGCAGCUCUGCAAUGCGGAGCAGGCACAGGGCGAGCGAACAACCUCGAUCUUACAGGAGAAUUUCCCUGUGUGUGGAAAUACAAUGAGCUUCUCCACUCAUCUCAAGAUGCUUUUGUGAGGAUGCACAACUCUCUGGGUGAGAGAAAUACAUUCCUCAUCAAACCUCACCCAGCAGAUCCCAGGGCAAAACCUGAAGCCUUCUCCUCGGUCACACAGCACAGACGGAGCCUCACAGAGCGACCUUGCACAAGAUGUGUUGCUACAAGGAGAAGGGUUUAGAUAUGACCAACAGCUGCCAAAGAAGAAUUUGUCUGGCAUCGAGAAAUGAAGGCAGAGCAGAACAUGUGUCCCUCAAAAGACAAAGUACAUGACCCUGGCAGUAUUUCCACUUGCCCAACCAAGCAAUGGAAAGAAAGAAAUGGCCUCAAAUCCAUUAUUGCUAUACCACACUUCUUCCAAAUGGAAAAGGGGUGCUUCUCUUUACCAUGCACCAAGCCUGGCUUCCAGAAGAGAAUGGAACGAACAGAUUUGGAGAGUUAACACUCAGGCUGACCCAAAACAGUGCCAUGGUUCAUUAGCAAAUUAGAGUUUUAAACCCAACAAUUCCUACAGCAGUAACAGCAGGGCAGGAUAUAUUCUUCUGAGAAGUUUAAAAGAAAAUGCUGCCCAGACUACUGAGAUUGCUGGCCAGACCUAGAGGGCUCUUGUACCAUUGCUAUCAUCUGUGCUGAUGCACACAGUUCUUGUGGCAGAACUUUGUUCAGUAGAGAUAAAACAGGUGUACUCUAUGCCCAGCAUUCAGGUUCCUGAGUGCAUUGCCCUUCUUUUUGUCCCUUGUCUUUGUAAAGCUUUAUAUAAUAAAUUUUGUUGGAUCACUUCCA
rnacentral:lncRNA from 1 species